ACGGCCUGGAUGUUAGGCAAAACGCCGCCCUGGGCGAUGGUGACUUUGCCCAGCAGCUUGUUCAGUUCCUCGUCGUUGCGGAUGGCCAGCUGGAGGUGACGAGGGAUGAUGCGCGUCUUCUUGUUGUCCCGAGCCGCGUUG
ensembl:miRNA